rnacentral:rRNA from 1 species
UACGUAGAAGGCAAACGUUAUUCGGAAUUACUGGGCGUAAAGCGGGUGUAGACGGCUUUUUAAGUCGGAUGUGAAAUCUCUUAACUUAAUUAAGAGAGGUCAUUCGAUACUAUUAGGCUUGAGGACGGCAGAGGAAGGCGGAACUCCCGGUGUAGCGGUGAUAUGCGUAGAUAUCGGGAGGAACACCAGUGGCGAAGGCGGCCUUCUAGGCCGUUCCUGACGUUGAGGCCCAAAAGCGUGGGGAGCGAAACGGAUUAGAUACCCUCGUA